CUGGGACUGAGACACGGCCCAGACUCCUACGGGAGGCAGCAGUGGGGAAUAUUGCGCAAUGGGCGGAAGCCUGACGCAGCGACGCCGCGUGGGGGAUGACGGCCUUCGGGUUGUAAACCUCUUUCGCCAGGGACGAAGAGUGAUUGACGGUACCUGGAGAAGAAGCACCGGCCAACUACGUGCCAGCAGCCGCGGUAACACGUAGGGUGCGAGCGUUGUCCGGAAUUAUUGGGCGUAAAGAGCUCGUAGGCGGUGUGUCGCGUCGGCCGUGAAAACUUGGGGCUUAACUCUGAGCGUGCGGUCGAUACGGGCAUCACUUGAGUUCGGCAGGGGAGACUGGAAUUCCUGGUGUAGCGGUGAAAUGCGCAGAUAUCAGGAGGAACACCGGUGGCGAAGGCGGGUCUCUGGGCCGAUACUGACGCUGAGGAGCGAAAGCGUGGGGAGCGAACAGGAUUAGAUACCCUGGUAGUCCACGCCGUAAACGUUGGGCGCUAGGUGUGGGGACCAUUCCACG
rnacentral:rRNA from 5 species